rnacentral:snRNA from 1 species
AUCCGAGUGCAAGGGCAUUACGCGUAUCAGUGAGGAUUCGUCCGAGAUCGUGUUUUUGCUAGUUGAAAACUAUAACUAUGACCACUCCUGGUUGGCUUAGGCUGGCCAGGGAAUUUUUGAACAACCCAAGAUCUCUGAAGAUUUCUCUCCCUUAUUUGCUUUCAUCGCUUGCGGUCCCAUGCUGGAUCGGGGU